rnacentral:lncRNA from 1 species
AUGAACCCAGACCAGAAGAUUCACGUCCAUCGGGAGGAGACUUUCGUGGGAGAGGCGGUUUUGGAGGUGAAAGAGGAUACAGAGGGCGCGGUAACAGAGGGGGUGACCGAGGUGGUGGCUAUGGUGGUAAAAUGGGAGGAAGAAAUGACUUCAGAAAUGACCAGCGCAACAGGCCAUACUAGAGACCCUUGUCAAUGUUCCAUUUCUCUCUUUGACACAGUCAGUAGUGAAAUUGCCGGAGUUUUGCCUGCUGCUUUACCCAUGGCCACUUUUGGAUGGCGAAUACACGAAAUUGGGUUUUUAUUUCGGUGGGAGGGACUGGGGCAGUUUUUUCUUUGUUUCUUCGGGUUUUUUUAGCAAGUCCAUUGAAAUUUCAUCUUUAAUUUCCAACAUUCUUCUGUUUUCACCCCUAAACUCUUCAACCGGCUAUAAGAAGGAACAGAAUGAACUGUAAAAUAUUGCCAAAAUCAAAAGUGUUUUGUAAUACAACAAUAAAAGCUGAUUGUUUUAUUUGUGAAAUCUUACA